rnacentral:lncRNA from 1 species
UGGGUUUGUUUAUUUUUGGCCAGGGAAAAAUGUGUAGACAUUUGACAUAUAAAUUUAUUCCUGAAAUAUUGAUAAUUCUCCACAAUAAAAAAUGUCCCCAAAUAGUCAUUUUUAAAAUAUAGUUGUCCUCAAUAAUUGUAAAUGACUAGUCCAUUUCAUUUUCAAAUAGCGUUUAGAUUUGUUUGCAGUACUUGAAAACUCAGUAAAAAAAAGUCUUUUAACUGUGGAUUCUGUAUGUUAGUGCUAUUUUAGCUUAAUGCUUGGAUUUCAUUUUUUUUCAGUUGUAAAACUCCCUAUGUAUGAUCAUCAGCUUAAAAUGUAGUUAUGUACAAAUAAAGUCUGUAUUAGUAAUUAUUGUAAUUGUUGACUCUAGUGGUAGUUAAUUCUGAGUGCCAGCAGAGGGCGCUUUAUGGUUUCCCUGGAAGAAUUAUAGGACCUUGGCAGCCCAAGUCUAGACUAUUUGCCCUCAAAUUAUUUUCUUAAGAGUAAAGACAUUUUUGUAUUCCCUAUGAUUUCCUAUCUCAGUUUACAGACUUCCAGACCGUCUGGCAAGGGAUAAGAAGGCCAUCCUAAAAAAACCAAAUAUAGUUCCCAGCUGACAGGAUGAACAGGUGCGUAAGCCAUGAUCCUGUGUGAUAAAAUCUGAAGGAGAUGGGACAACCCUUUGAUUUUUUUCUCCCAGCCCUUUUCAAACUCCAUCAUUGCUGUCAGCACUUCUCCCCUAGAGGUUUGUGUAGAAUCCAGAAAUAAAAGCAUAUGGUUUUAAAACAGUCUAAUUUAGUCAAUAAGAAAGUAAACACCUCAUGGAAAAGAGGAAGCCUGAUGGGGAACCAGUACUGAGGGAGACUUCUGGAUGAUCCAAGACAGUGGUUUGCAUUCUUUUUGACAAAUACCCAUGUCCUAGUACAUACAUGUGUAUGUACACACACGUACCACACACAUACACCCUUAAAAUAAAAGAAACUUUUUUUUUUUUGCAUUUUAGGGCCUCUCCCAGGCAUAUGGAGGUUCCUAGGCUAGGGAUCUAAAUGGAGCUACAGCUGCUAGCCUACACCACAGCCACAGCAAUGCAAGAUCAGAGCCAUGCAAUGUACACCACAGCUUACGGUAACACUCGGAUCCUCAACCCACUGAGCAAGGCCAGGGAUCAAAUCUGCACCCUCAUGGUUCCUGGUUGGAAUCAUUUCCUUUGAACCCUGACAGAAACUCCUAAAAUAAAAGUAUCUUGAAGCAACAUUUACUUAUAAUGUAUGAAGGAGGUAGCUACAUUUUUUUUAUUACUUAAUGAAUUUUAUUACAUUUAUAGGUGUACAACAAUCAUCACAACCAAAUUUUACAGCAUUUCCAUCCCAAACCCUCAGUGCAUCCCCCAUCCCCUAAUCUGUCUCAUUUGGAAAUGAUAAAUUUUUCAGAGUCUGUGAGUCAGUGUCUGUUCUGCAAAGAAGUUCAUUGUGUCCUUUUUUUAGAUUCGACAUGUCAGUGUUAGCAUGUGAUGUUGAUGUCUCAUUGUCUGACUGACUUCACUUAGCAUGAUAAUUUCUAGGUCCAUCCAUGUUGCUAAAAAUGCUAUUAUUUCUUUCCUUUUAAUGGCUGAGUAAUAUUCCAUUGAUAGCUACAUUUUAAAAUCCUUAAAUGAAAUGUAGGAAAUAAUAGGGUUUUUCAAAGAACCAGAUAAACUAGAUUUGGAAAUGAACAUGAAAGAAGAAAAGGCCAAGAACAGCCAAAACACUUCCAAAGAAGAGUAAGUUAAGGAGAUAUCUGCUGACCAGAUAGUAGAGUUUUACUAAAGAUUUAGUAACAGUGAUGAAUUGGUACAGGAAUAAGUGAUGAGACCAGGGGAACAGAACAGAGAGCUCAGGGGCACACUUGUCCCAUUUAUACAGCUCCUGAGCCUUCAUGUGUGACAGAGAGGGCAUUGCCGAGCAAUGAAGAAAGAGCGGACUUUUCAAUAGUGGUUGUAGAAAAAUAGUUACCCAUAUGGGAAAAUAUGGACAUUGGACUUGUACCUCAAUACAAAAAUUAAUUUCAGAUGGGGAAUCCUGGAGAGAUGGUGAUGACAACAGCAUGAUUUUUCAGUCUCACUUAUUCUCCACAUAAAAACAGGCAGAGAGACUAGAUAGCAAAACUAAAACCUCAUGGACUCCAUUUAUGACAAAACUAUAUGGAGAAGUUCCCCUACAAACCCCAAACUACAGGUGGGUGGGGCCAAACCAUUAUCAGCCACAAAACACAAACAGCAUCUGUGCAGGAAAAAGAAAGAAGCAACAGGGACGAGAAGGACCCUAAAAGUAACCAACAUGUAUUCACUGGAAGGCCAGGUGGGCACUUUGAGGGGAGCAGCUGACUCAUGCAGAGCUUCUGCUCUAACACUAAGAGCUGGGAAGGAAGACAAUUGAAGGAACAGGAGGAGCGUGGCCCCAUGUGGGUCAGGGCUCCCCACUGAAGAGACACAUCUGGGGAUGUAAUCAAAGUUGAGCAGAAUAGAGACAAUAGAGAUGCAGGAAAGAAAAGGUUCAGACUGAAGUGGGGUGUGGUAACAGAACCAAGAAAAACUCAGAAAACAAGCCACCAUAUUUUUGAGCAUCGCCCAGAAACAACUAAGAGGGAACUAUGGUAUGGGAGAAGGUUUCCUGUGCCUUGCUUAUUCUAGAUGUCCAGGAAAACCACUUUUACAUAAAAAUCAAAAGUAUGAGGUCCAAUCCCAUACAAAGUUAGUAUGAGAAAAAAGACAGUAAGAAGUAGAAUAAUAUCCCUAUGCCAGAAAGACAUGUCUUCAAGACAGAUCAAAACAGUGAUCUACUGUUUCACAACAACUCAAAGAUAUUAAGAGAAUGUUACAAGACAUAAAUGAACAAAAUAUAAUUAGAAAAACUCAGGAAUGAAGUGACAGAACUCAUCAAAGAAUAAAAAAACAUAACAGGAAAAAUUAUUUCAAAAGGGAAGACUGAGAAGAAAUGUAAGAGUGAAUAAAUACAGUACACACUACCUUAGAAGAAAGGGUGGAAAG